rnacentral:rRNA from 1 species
UACGUCACCGGCGGACGGGUGCGUAACACGUGGGAAUAUACCUUUUGGUUCGGAACAACGCAGGGAAACUUGCGCUAAUACCGAAUGUGUCCUUACGGAGAAAGAUUUAUCGCCAAAGGAUUAGCCCGCAUUCGAUUAGCUAGUUGGUGAGGUAAUGGCUCACCAAGGCAACGAUCGAUAGCUGUUCUGAGAGGAAGAUCAGCCACACUGGGACUGAGACACGGCCCAG